rnacentral:rRNA from 1 species
GACGAACGCUGGCGGCGUGCUUAACACAUGCAAGUCGAGCGGUAAGGCCCUUUCGGGGGUACACGAGCGGCGAACGGGUGAGUAACACGUGGGUGACCUGCCCUUAGCUCUGGGAUAAGCCUGGGAAACUGGGUCUAAUACCGGAUAUGACUCCAUGACGCAUGUUGUGGGGUGAAAGCCUUGUGCGGCUAGGGAUGGGCCCGCGGCCUAUCAGCUUGUUGGUGGGGUGAUGGCCACCAAGGCGACGACGGUAGCCGGCCUGAGAGGGCGACCGGCCACACUGGGACUGAGACACGGCCCAGACUCCUACGGGAGGCAGCAGUGGGGAAUCUUGCGCAAUGGGCGAAAGCCUGACGCAGCGACGCCGCGUGAGGGAUGACGGCCU